AAAACCCGUUGAAUUGAACAGGAAACAUUCACGGGAAAUCUGCAGGUGUCUGCAAGCAAGAGUGACGCUAGAAGGAUCUUAGUAUGCCAGCUCCCUCUUCCUCAAGGGUAGUGUCCCUGGAAUGAAGCCACCAGCAACAGGAGAGGAAACAGAUGGGGUUGUAGAAAGUAGGAGCAGCAAAAGCUUCUGAACUUAGUAAUAAGCUGCUUGCCCCGGGGUGAGGUGGGGAGGAGCAGAUGUUUUGCCUCUAGUGAGACAAUAAUUUACUUCCCUAUUAUUGUUUGACUUUGCCUUGUUUCUGCCUAUGAAUUACUAACAGAGGCUUGCAGCACUAUCUAUGGGGCCUGAAACAUACAAUAAGGGGCCAGAAGGCCUUGAGAGAGCUGAAAAAGAAAUCAUCACCCUAGCCUCACCCAGUCACCUGUCUCCAGGCAAAAUAAUUCCCUGUCCUUCAUGAUGAUUCGGAGAAGACCAGCCCCACUCAGCUGCUGUUGCCAACCAACCAUAGUUCUUGUUACCCUGGGCCACAAGUGCCUUAUCCACUAGAUUGAGAAAGUUAAUGCCAGAGGGAAGUGAGAAACUAACUAUGGAAGAGUGGACCCAUGUUGCAAAAACAAAGUUCUAGGGAAAGACGUGAACAAAGAUGGGUGAGUAUGAAUGGGGUCUGACUGGAACAUGGCAGAGAAGAAAUUCAACUAUGCAAUGAGAUAAAGCAAAGAUUCUAAUGAAAGACUGAUGUGGUCAUAAACAAACAAACAAACAAACAAAAAACAGGUGCCCAAUGAAUACUUCUAACUGAAAAAAAAUCUGAAGAUGCUGGUCAGAGGAUCCUCAGGAGGGAAAAAACCUGACUUUCCUUGGUAAGGGCCUGUGGAGCAAGUAAUUGCAGCUUGAACCAUGGGGUCUCCUUGGAGCUGCGGGCACCAAGCAUCAGAUCUGAACACAGAAGCUGGGCCAGUUUGUUAAGUAGGGUGCGGCAGAGACUGUUAGUUGCCUAUCCAAUAUCCAGUCUCCUCUUUUUCCUUGGUCACAUAACCCAGAUUUUAAUCUGGGUGGCAGUGUGCUCAGCUGAAAGACUACACUUGGAAGCCACAUUUGCAGCCUGAGGGCCAGUGAGACAUAAGCAGAAGUUGUUGGGUAGUCUUCUGUGGACUCCUUAAGAGGGAAUAGACUACUCACAGACUCCUUUUUCUCCUUCUCCCUUCCUUCCAUGCCUUUCUGGAACAGGAAGUUUAACAUGAUGAUUGGCGCUCUAGCUGUCACAUUGGACCAUGAAGUUAUGUUGUUUUUUUUUUUAAUUAAUUUUUAGUUUUAUUUCAGUGGUUUUGGGGGUAUAGGUGGUUUUUGAUUCCACG
rnacentral:lncRNA from 10 species